rnacentral:tRNA from 1 species
GGGCCAGUAGAUCAAUUGGGAGAUCGUAUCCUUGGCGUGGAUAAGGCUGGCGGUUCAACCCCGCUCUGGUCCA